GAUAAAUUGCUUGCGCCCUCCUCCGCACGUUCACCCCAUCCUCCCUAGGAAGCUAGAACCACUCACCCCAUGAUACUCGCACGGGAGGCGGGUCACCCUCUCCGACGUUGUGCGACCACACCAACACUCGGGUCACGGUGGGGGUUGCAGAAUCUUUGUCGGGCCGCGUGGCUCGUGCCAGGGUCCUCGCCGGGCCGAGCUUGUAGUUGCUGCGCCCCAAAUUUACUCACCGGAAGCGGGGUUCGUCGUGGAGUCGCCCGGUGACGCGGACUGGUGCCCCGGCCUUGCCCUAACCCUGUACACGAGAAUCUGAGGAUCAUC
rnacentral:lncRNA from 7 species